AGCAGCCGCGGUAAUUCCAGCUCCAAUAGCGUAUAUUAAAGUUGUUGCAGUUAAAAAGCUCGUAGUUGAAUUUCGGGGUUAGUAGGUUGGUCAUGCCUCUGGUAUGUACUGGUCUCACUGAUUCCUCCUUCCUGAUGAACCGUAAUGCCAUUAAUUUGGUGUUGCGGGGAAACUGGACUGUUACUUUGAAAAAUUAGAGUGUUUAAAGCAGGCUAACGCUUGAAUACAUUAGCAUGGAAUAAUGAAAUAGGACGUUCGAUCUUAUUUUGUUGGUUUCUAGG
rnacentral:rRNA from 1 species